UAAUGCCUGGGAAAUUGCCCUGAUGUGGGGGAUAACCAUUGGAAACGAUGGCUAAUACCGCAUGAUAGCUUCGGCUCAAAGAGGGGGACCUUCGGGCCUCUCGCGUCAGGAUAUGCCCAGGUGGGAUUAGCUAGUUGGUGAGGUAAUGGCUCACCAAGGCGACGAUCCCUAGCUGGUCUGAGAGGAUGAUCAGCCACACUGGAACUGAGACACGGUCCAGACUCCUACGGGAGGCAGCAGUGGGGAAUAUUGCACAAUGGGCGCAAGCCUGAUGCAGCCAUGCCGCGUGUGUGAAGAAGGCCUUCGGGUUGUAAAGCACUUUCAGUAGGGAGGAAGGCAGUGUCGUUAAUAGCGGCAUUGUUUGACGUUACCUACAGAAGAAGCACCGGCUAACUCCGUGCCAGCAGCCGCGGUAAUACGGAGGGUGCGAGCGUUAAUCGGAAUUACUGGGCGUAAAGCGCAUGCAGGUGGUUUGUUAAGUCAGAUGUGAAAGCCCGGGGCUCAACCUCGGAAUAGCAUUUGAAACUGGCAAGCUAGAGUACUGUAGAGGGGGGGUAGAAUUUCAGGUGUAGCGGUGAAAUGCGUAGAGAUCUGAAGGAAUACCGGUGGCGAAGGCGGCCCCCUGGACAGAAUACUGACACUCAGAUGCGAAAGCGUGGGGGAGCAAACAGGGAUUAUAUACCCUGGGUAGUCCACGCCGUAAAACGAAUGUCUACUUGGGAGGUUGUGGGCCUU
rnacentral:rRNA from 1 species